rnacentral:pre_miRNA from 1 species
AUUUUAGUAUAAAUCUGUCCCAUGUAAUAUUUGGGACAUACUUGUACUAAAA